GAUGAACGCUGGCGGCGUGCCUAAUACAUGCAAGUCGAGCGAUCGGACGAGAAGCUUGCUUCUCUGAUGUUAGCGGCGGACGGGUGAGUAACACGUGGAUAACCUACCUAUAAGACUGGGAUAACUUCGGGAAACCGGAGCUAAUACCGGAUGAUAUUUUGAACCGCAUGGUUCAAAAGUGAAAGACGGUCUUGCUGUCACUUAUAGAUGCAUCCGCGCUGCAUUAGCUAGUUGGUAAGGUAACGGCUUACCACGGCAACGAUGCGUAGCCGACCUGAGAGGGUGAGCGGCCAAGCUGGAACGGAGACACGGUCCAGACUCCUACGGGAGGCAGCAGUAGGGAAUCCUCCGCAAUGGGCGAAAGCCUGACGGAGGAACGCCGCGUGAGUGAUGAAGGUCUUCGGAUCGUAAAACUCUGUUAUUAGGGAAGAACAUAUGUGUAAGUAACUGUGCACAUCUUGACGGUACCUAAUCAGAAAGCCACGGCUAACUACGUG
rnacentral:rRNA from 1 species